AGUGAACGCUGGCGGUAGGCCUAACACAUGCAAGUCGAACGGCAGCACAGUAAGAGCUUGCUCUUACGGGUGGCGAGUGGCGGACGGGUGAGGAAUACAUCGGAAUCUACUUUUUCGUGGGGGAUAACGUAGGGAAACUUACGCUAAUACCGCAUACGACCUACGGGUGAAAGCAGGGGAUCUUCGGACCUUGCGCGAUUGAAUGAGCCGAUGUCGGAUUAGCUAGUUGGCGGGGUAAAGGCCCACCAAGGCGACGAUCCGUAGCUGGCCUGAGAGGAUGAUCAGCCACACUGGAACUGAGACACGGUCCAGACUCCUACGGGAGGCAGCAGUGGGGAAUAUUGGGCAAUGGGCGCAAGCCUGAUCCAGCCAUACCGCGUGGGUGAAGAAGGCCUUCGGGUUGUAAAGCCCUUUUGUUGGGAAAGAAAAGCAGCAGGUUAAUACCCCGCUGUUCUGACGGUACCCAAAGAAUAAGCACCGGCUAACUUCGUG
rnacentral:rRNA from 1 species